GUCUAUGGUCAUGCCACCCUGAACAAGCCCAAUGUCUGAUCUUGGAACCUAAGCAGGGUCGGGCCUGGUUAGCACUUGGAUGAGAGACCACGUAGGAGGACCAGGUGCUGUAGGCA
rnacentral:rRNA from 1 species